rnacentral:rRNA from 1 species
UAAUACAGAGGGUGCAAGCGUUGCUCGGAAUCAUUGGGCGUAAAGGGUAGGUAGGUGGUCUUAUUUGUCUGGGGUGAAAGCCUUGAGCUUAACUCAAGAAGUGCCUCGGAAACGGUAAGACUUUGAGUCUCGGAGAGGGUCGUGGAAUUCCCGGUGUAGCGGUGAAAUGCGUAGAGAUCGGGAGGAACACCAGCGGCGAAGGCGGCGACCUGGACGAGCACUGACACUCAACUACGAAAGCGUGGGGAGCAAACAGGAUUAGAUACCCUGGUAGUCCACGCCGUAAACGAUGGGUACUAGGUUUGGUGGGUCUUGACCCCCGCCGAACCGGCGCUAACGCACUAAGUACCCCGCCUGGGAAGUACGGUCGCAAGACUA